CCCAACAGUCACAUUUCUCAUAGAUGCAGGACCAAGCAAAACCUGUAAAAUGUUACUACUUCAGGUUGUUAUUCUGGCUUCGAUUUUGUCUUACGGAUGUGCACAAAUACAUCUGAAACAAGCUCAGUUGUCCGUUACCAGGGGAAAAGGUAAAACUGCAAGUAUAGACUGUGAGGCUUCUGGCAUUCAGAACUUCGGGAAUGCUAUUAUACACUGGUAUCGACAAAGACCUGGAGAAGCUCCAGAGUGGAUACUCUACUUUAAGACACAAGCUGAGAAAUCAAGUUUUGACAAGAACAAGUUUAGGGUUGACAAGACAACUGAAAAGUGCACCCUAAGGGUAGACAGACUAACCGACAAUGACAUGGGUACCUAUUACUGUGCCUACUGGGAUAUCACAGUAGACAGACAAGCAAAACUCGAUCCCAGGAAGAUCCAGGUCCUGCCUCCUUCUACUGAACAAGAUGGGAAAGUAACACACAUAUGCCUCAUUGAGGAUUUUUACCCAAAUGUCAUUAAGGUGACUUGGGAAGACGACAAGAAGAAUGCAGAGGAUAAUGCAGUGCAUGGGGAAAUUUGGCCCCCUGAUGACAAUCAACCUUCAUACUCAAUAAGCAGCUGGCUGACCGUAGAUAAAAAUAGCAACAAGAAUUAUCGUUGCAAAUAUCAACAUGAAAGCAAAGAAGGUUCUCUCCCAAUUGAAUCUCCAGACCAGAAGAAUUACACAAACCAAAAUGAAAAAGAUAAUCCCUUUUCUCUUGAAUUAAGAGAAUGCCUCAAACCACAGGGAGGCUGUAUCAACAAUGCUGAAAACGGCACCACGAUUUCCACAGAUAUUACAGACAGUUUCAUGCACAGGACGGCGUAUUUAAUAUACAUUGUCCUACUCCUGAAAAGCACCAUGUACUACGUCAUCGUACUCUUCUUCAUCUACAGAAUGCAAAGUCCAAUCAAGCACCGGGGAAAGAAACCUUAAACUUCUCCUUACAACUUCCAAUGUCAGCAUUUGUGUCUGAAAUUUACUUUGCUUUGCCAUAAGCCUGUUCAUAAGAAACACCUUGCUCUAAAUAUUAAGACAUGCAUUUCAAUUUGAUUUGGUUGGCUAUUUCUCUAAUUAGCACAGAUGGCUUCUUCUGCUUGAGAGCAAACAGUUUUAUGUGUGACCAUAUUUCCUAUUUUAUUAUUUUAAUUUUGUAACUGUGGAACUUCAAGGGCUGAGGCUACACUCCUUGAUUUCAAUAGGAAUUUUGCAUCACAAAGUAGUGCAGAACCAGUCUCUUAGGCCCUUAUCCUGCAAAAACACAAAGAACUUUUUGGUUGUGGAUAGGCCAACUCCAAACAGUGAAGUCAAUGGGAAGACUCGUCCCAUAAAUAUUUGCAGGUG